rnacentral:misc_RNA from 1 species
UGUGGGAGCGGGCUUGCUCGCGAUCAAGGCGCCGCGGUAUUGAAGUUGAACCGCGUCGAUCCAAUCGCGAGCAAGCCCGCUCCCACA